CUCAGAGUUUUUCCUUCUUGCAGCACGAGAUGACACGAAGAUAGGUUCUGGCAGCUGCAGUGUGAUGGGGAAAUGGGAACGCUUUGAACAGCUGACCAGAUGAAUUUUAAACAAGAAUUGAUGCCUUGCUGUUGGAGGCUGGGAAAGGAAGAUGAAAUGUGCAGAGCCCUUGACUUCUCCCUUUUCUUAAGACUGUGGGAUAGAUUUUUCAAAACAUUGGCUAGAAGACUUGCAUUCAAAACCAGCUGAGUAAAUAAUGGGGCUUUGAUGGGACAAGAGGCCCAGGGAAAUGGAGGACCUGACUUGCUCACACAGCAGAAUCAGAACUAAGACCCAACCAUCCUACCUUUCAACUGAGAGUAACUUCUACCAGAUCACGAUAUUUGGAUACGUAGUGUGUUUUGAAGUUGGAGAAGAAAUCCAAGACCAAACAUGUAUUGGGGUGUAUUUUCCAUCAUCUCAGUGGCUUCCAUUCUCCAGCUUCUGAGUCUUUUUGUUUGUUUUUGUUUUUUUGAGACAUGGUCUCACUUUGUCACCAAGGCUGAAGUGCAGUGGUGCGAUCUCCACUCACUGUAGCCUUGACGUCCCAGGUUCAAGUGAUCCUCCUGCAUCGGCCCCCCAAGUAGCAUGGACUACAGGCACAUGCCACCAUGCCUGGCUAAUUUUUGUAUUUUUAGUAGAGAUGAGGUUUCACCAUGUUGCCUAGGCUGUUCUUGAACUCCUGGACUCAAACGAUCUGCUUGUUUUGGUCUCUUAAAGUGCUAGGAUUACAGGCAUGAGCCACUGUGCUGGGCCUGGCUUCUGAGACUUUUUUUUGCCAGAGGGCUUCAGAACCACACCUGGGGCAGGCCAAAAGCACUGGGGGCUUCAUUCCCCAGGAGCAAUGCUUAAGGAGUGUGGGUCGGGAAUGGGUGGAUAAAUGCUCCUGAUUCUUCACUGCUUCCUUGAUGUCAUGAUUCUGGGGUAUGUGUUCCCUGGUGACUCAGAGGCUCCUCAGCAGAUCUGAUCCCCAGUUGCCCACCCCAGUGACUCUCUCGUUAAUGUACCCUUCAUGAACUUCCCUCCUGCCCUCUAUCCCUGCCCUACUUCCUCAUUAUGCUUUCUGAGAUUAUCUCCCAAAUAAAUUA